GAGAGCCGGAUGCCCGGGAACGGGCACGUCCGGUUCGGCGAGCGGUCUGGAGAAACGGACUGACGGCAAUGUCAGUACCGCGCUCCAGGCCGACUCAAC
rnacentral:ncRNA from 1 species